CCGAGUUUACAACUCCCAAACCCAAUGUGAACGUUACCAAACUGUUGCCACCCUCGGCGGGGUCACGCCCCGGGUGCGUAAAAGCCCCGGAACCAGGCGCCCGCCGGAGGAACCAACCAAACUCUUUCUGUAGUCCCCCCUCGCGGACGUAUUUCUUACAAGCUCUGAGCAAAAAAUUCAAAAAUGAAUCA
rnacentral:misc_RNA from 1 species